UAAUAUAUCUCAUGCGCUCUUCAAUCGAAGUCUUUGUUCUUCCCCAGUCGAGUAAGAUUCGUAUUUCCUUGCAGAAUCGAAUGCCCAUCAUGUAAGUCGGGAUUGCUUCUUCAGUCCUUCUUUCGGAUGAUGAGUGUCUUGGAUACGUUUCCAAUUCACACCUGGUUGGUCACCUAUUAUAUGCCCAGUAACCGGUAUCCUUG
rnacentral:lncRNA from 1 species